rnacentral:ncRNA from 1 species
UAUAUUUGCACGCAUUUUAGAAAAAAAUGCAUUUACAUAAUAAUCAUUUAAAUAAUAUUGGCAUG